GAAGGCAAGAGUUUGGAGAAGACUGCAUAGACAUCUGCCGGAAGUCAUAAUGCCAUCACACAUUCCAUGAUGCACAUUAUAUGACUUACCUGGGCCCAAAACCAGAGACUGAAAUUCUUAACAAGGCUUAUUCAGCAAAAGGAUCAUGAUAAUCAGGGAAGAGAGGAAGAUUUAUGUUUACAAAGGGCUGCAAUCAAGGCCUCUAUGAAUCCUGUGAAGCAAAGCUUAUCUUCAUGCUGCAAAUUUGGUAUUUUCAAGAGUCUCUCUGGAUGCAGAUCAGAAUCAAAUCAAGGUGAAGGCAAAGCAGAUGUUAACUAUUUCAUUCUUUCAUCACAACUUUGCUGUAUUAUACUUGGUGUCUGAAACACUGUGAUUUUGGACAAUGCAAAAUAAUGGGGAAUAAGUCAAAUGUAUAUAUCUAUAACAAUGACCUUGCUGUUUUGGAAUAAUAUCUGGAUUGAACCAGAUAUUAAUGGAUUAAUGGUUCUUUAGCAGGAUUAUUACAAUAGCCGCAAGCAAUUAUUCAAGAAAGAUGUACUAAAUGGAUACUAAAUUGUCA